AGCACUCAGCAGCUAAAUCCUCCAUCGUAUCAUGUCUGCUAGAAUCUUAUGUUAUUUGCACCUGUGGCUCAAUACACUAUGUACCUUAUUGCCUUGUUACACUCACCUCUCUCCACCCGCAAGCCUAACCAACCACCCAGAGCUGCUGCCACCCAGAAGAACUGGAAAUCUGAAUUGCACUAGAAGGCAAAAUACAAUACUGAAGUUUAUUUAACAAACUAAGUUCAGAAGAAAUGUCAAGAUCGCCAUCUGAAACCCAGUGAAGUUUGGAUGCAUUGUGCUGUAUGCUUACUACUCAGGCCCCUUCCGAGCAGGUGAAAGCAAGAACAGACACAACAGUUUUUGUUAAAGGAGGUUUCUGAUGCCAAUUUGACAGCAGAGGGCUAUGGAGGAAGAACUUUGUCUCAGCUGUCCUCUUAUUGAACACUGGAUGAGUUCUACAUCUUAUCUCUCUAACUGGAGUCCCUGCUAUUGGCAAGAGGGGACACAGUAGAGCCCUACAAGCUGAUCUCUUCCAUCCCAGCAGUCUCUUCAUGACGCAUGGAGUAAAUGGCAAAAGGAACUAUGUGUUCUUACCAAAGCAGAUACCACAAUAAGAAAAUCUUCUUCAUCUAACUUCCUGGCUGCUUGAUCUAAUCUUGCUGGCUGAUCAUGAGGAGUUUCUCUUUAUGUUAAACAUUUAGGAAAUGGAAUUAGUAAUUGACAAGAUAGGAUUUAAACCAAGAAGUCUGGCUCUUAACCUACACUUUGGACAACUGUGUAAACCCAAAUACUCCAGAAAAUGAUUUGUCUGAUGUAACUGAGGUUGCUGUUGUUGAUGGAUAUCAAAUAUCCCAAGCAUUUCCUCUCUGAACUAACAGCUCUAUCUGUCCUGGUUAUAUUUUAAAGCAAAAUUAAGAGUUUACCUCUUUCUGAGUACUCUGAGAAUGCAAUAUCAUUUUGACAUUUUCUAAGCAUCUGUCCAAGUUAUUUGACUGAAAUCAUACUCUGCUAUAUUAAAAGUGACUUAGAAGAAGUCGGGGUUUUGAAUAACUUUUUCUUUUCAAAGAUUUUUAUCUAUCCAGUGUUAAUGUAUGAGAAAGGAACUCCACUCUUAUGGAAAUUUUUAUUCAUUUAUUUAAAUUCCACUUGAGUCUAAAUAACAGGAAAUUUAAUUUUUGCUCCAGAUAGUAUAAUUGACAAAUUAUAAUAUGAUAAUAAUUUAUUCUGAGGUCAGUGAGAUGGUUUGGCCAAUUCCUAUGGUUUGGAUAAGAAUAAACCACUAAGUGUAUUUGUACAAAGGAAUUUAAUGUUUAAAACAAAAGGAUACUUUUCUGAAAUUCUAAGAAAUAAAAAUAAACUCCAUAGAUACUGAAUCAGGGCAAUUCUGUUAUGCUAAAAAGUUAUAUUACUAUUAUUUUUCAAUGGGAAUUCUAGACCAAACCACAAACCAGAUACAUUUUUGUUAGUAUGGCUAAUAUAGUAAUACAUUUGUGAGACAUAAUGUAAAUAACUAGUCUGUACACCUCCGUUUCACCCAUAUCUAUUUUAACUAUUUCAAAUGUAUGAUAACCAAAUGACUUCAAGAUUUUGCUACUGUCACUGGCUUCAUUUUAAGUAUAGUUACCUGUUUCAAUUUAAUGCAUAAUUUUUGCAAUUAGAAUUGAGUAAGAUUAAUUUUCAUUCUCUGUGGCUCUUUAUUGUUUUGUUAUGUCUAGACAUACACACAUUUGCAGUAAACAUUUGAUUUUUUUUACUGCUACUGAGAUGUUUACAUCAUGUCUUAAUACUCCAUCCAGCAUAAUAACAUCAAGUAAAAUGCAUGGUGUUGGUACUGCUUAUGGUGACAUCAUAAAAAGUUUAUUCACCAAUAACUCAGUGAUGGCUUAGGAGGUAAGACUAUUUUCUGUUCAGAAACUAGUCUGGCACAUAUGUGAGACUCUUUUCUGCCAUUGCUGUCAUAUAGAAAUUUUGGUCUUAAGACUACAAAGAAAAAAGAGAUAACUUGAGCUCUAUAACUACAAUAAGUUUGUCUGUUUUCAAAGACAGAUGAAGAAUGUGAACCAGAAUUUAUAAUUAAGAGCUGAUUAAAUAUAACUCCUGAAAUUUGCAAGAAAAUUUGAAAUAAAUAUUGGUAUUUGGAAUUUAAAAGUGUGUGGUAAAUUUAUUUUAUAAACCAUUCAUAAAAUAGAUCUCAAGUUGCAAAUUUUCAAGGUUCUUUGAAAUGGUUGCUUUUAACCUAGGGAUAUUUCUGUAAAGCUAUAGUCUGUACUUGUCUGCACCAGGACUGGGUUUCAUCUAGAGAGAUAAAUGAAAAGUCACUGUUUGUUUUUAUAUAAAAUAGGAUCAUCUCCUUCCACCAUAUGCUCCUCCAGCACAUACAGAGAAAGAUCCCUAAAAGUUAAUGCAAAUGUUUCCUAAGAGGAGAUUUUCAUUUGUCUGUGAAUCCCACAAUCCUGCUUACAAAAGAGAUUCUAUUAUUUUAAAUAUCAAUAUUAGCAUUUUAAGAGGAUUAUUUAUUGGUUUGUCAAUGGGAGGGGGUCACAGGAUGAAAUAGAUUAGAAAGUUGACAGGAGAGGAGUUCCAAUACCAUGUAGAAGGUCUCUGGGAGGCUAGAAUAUGAAACACAAUUUCUGGUUUCAUAAGUUCCUCAUUAAAAGAAAAACAUAA